rnacentral:rRNA from 1 species
CGACCGGCGCACGGGUGAGUAACACGUAUGCAACCUGCCCUCCGCAGGGGGAUAACCCGGAGAAAUCCGGACUAAUACCGCGUGGUACAUCUGUGGGGCAUCCCACGGGUGUUAAAAGGAAGCGAUUCCGGCGGAGGGAUGGGCAUGCGGCGCAUUAGCUAGUUGGCGGGGUAACGGCCCACCAAGGCGACGAUGCGUAGGGGUUCUGAGAGGAAGGUCCCCCACACUGGUACUGAGACACGGACCAGACUCCUACGGAAGGCAGCAG